rnacentral:rRNA from 1 species
GAUGAACGCUGGCGGCGUGCCUAAUACAUGCAAGUCGAGCGAACGGACGAGAAGCUUGCUUCUCUGAUGUUAGCGGCGGACGGGUGAGUAACACGUGGAUAACCUACCUAUAAGACUGGGAUAACUUCGGGAAACCGGAGCUAAUACCGGAUGAUAUUUUGAACCGCAUGGUUCAAAAGUGAAAGACGGUCUUGCUGUCACUUAUAGAUGGAUCCGCGCUGCAUUAGCUAGUUGGUAAGGUAACGGCUUACCAAGGCAACGAUGCAUAGCCGACCUGGGAGGGGGUCCGGCCACACGGGAACUGAGACACGGUCCAGACUCCUACGGGAGGCAGCAGAGGGGAAUCUUCCGCAAUGGGCGAAAGCCUGACGAGCAACGCCGCGUGAGUGAUGAAGGUCUUCGGAUCGUAAAGCUCUGUUAUUAGGGAAGAACAUAUGUGUAAGUAACUGUGCACAUCUUGACGGUACCUAAUCAGAAAGCCACGGCUAACUACGUG